UACGGAGGGAGCUAGCGUUGUUCGGAAUUACUGGGCGUAAAGCGCACGUAGGCGGCUAGUCAAGUCAGAGGUGAAAGCCCGGGGCUCAACCCCGGAACUGCCUUUGAAACUAGGUGGCUAGAAUCUUGGAGAGGUCAGUGGAAUUCCGAGUGUAGAGGUGAAAUUCGUAGAUAUUCGGAAGAACACCAGUGGCGAAGGCGACUGACUGGACCAGUAUUGACGCUGAGGUGCGAAAGCGUGGGGAGCAAACAGG
rnacentral:rRNA from 1 species